ACUACGGGCGGCAGCAGUGAGGAAUAUUGGUCAAUGGACGGAAGUCUGAACCGGCCAUGCCGCGUGCAGGAAGACGGCUCUAUGAGUUGUAAACUGCUUUUGUACAAGGGUAAACCUGAAUACGUGUAUUCAGCUGAAAGUACUGUACGAAUAAGGAUCGGCUAACUCCGUGCCAGCAGCCGCGGUAAUACGGAGGAUCCAAGCGUUAUCCGGAUUUAUUGGGUUUAAAGGGUGCGUAGGCGGAUUGAUAAGUUAGUGGUGAACUGUCGGAGCUUAACUCGGGAACUGCCUCUAAUACUGUUGAUCUAGAGAGUAGAUGCGGUAGGCGGAAUGUAUGGUGUAGCGGUGAAAUGCUUAGAGAUCAUACAGAACACCGAUUGCGAAGGCAGCUUACCAAUCUAUAUCUGACGUUGAGGCACGAAAGCGUGGGGAGCAAACAGGAUUAGAUACCCGAGUAGUC
rnacentral:rRNA from 1 species